CUGGAGCACAAAAACACAUGCUGAACAAUUUUUAUUUUCUUCAAGGAGCAAGGAUGGAAUCUGUCUUUAUAUGGGAUACUGUUGAAUCUUCCCUGGAGGAGACCAGAAGUAGAUGGCAUGAUGCAUUAAAGGAACUCAGAUCAGCAGUCUGGAGGGUUUCAAUCCACAAUUUUUUUCCUGAAAUAAGUUGAAACAAACCAGGCAAUGCCUGACUCGAAAGGACCACCAAAUGUGUAAAAAAAGAGCCUAUUUUCUUACUGCAUUUCCAACAUACAGAAUCCAAUCUAAAGCAUUCUCAUUUAAAUUGAAACCUCAUGUAUCUCUGUCCAACUUUAAAAAAUCAUACCAUUGUUCAUAUAUAAACCAGAGAGGCUGGUGAAAUGGCCAGGAGGCCAUCAGCUGGG